UCAAGAUGGUCGAUCAAGAGUAAAUAAAGUGCUAAAAAUGUGAAGACCAAAUAUAUCAUAGGCUAUUUCAAACAAUUUAAAGAGGCAAACAAGAUGUGUGAGAAACAAAUUUACCAACGAAAAUACCGUAGAAUAGUUGCAUGAACUUCAGGACCUCGAUACACCACAAAUUCAAAAAUGUACAAUGUGUUUUCCUCCUAACUCGCUCACCCAUGCAUUAAGGGCAUGGAAUGCAUCCUUCCUACUUCUGUGGAUACACAAUAAUUUACACAAUGUAGAGUCAGCUAUCCUCCUCACUCUCACCCAGGCAUACAAUCUGCAAAGCUUCAAAUUUAUCCUUCCCUGCUGCCAUACAUGAAACGAUGUUCCCGAUAGUUACCAACAGAUAAUAUGUCCAUACAUUAUAUCACAAAGUAAUAAAAAAAGAUAUUUAGCAUAUGAACUUGUUGAAGCAUUAAAUUUUGCAUUAAAUUUUAUACAAGGAAACAGACUGCAAGAGUAGACGCGUAUUUUCAUGUCUUACAUUAGUUACUUAAUCAUAUCCCAUAAAGUAACUAUGCUGUAACAAGAUGCUAACAUUCAUGUUUCUUCUAUGCACAUCUCGACUAAUGUUCAUUAAAAACAAAACAUCAAUAAGGUAAAACUGAAGGACACAAUUUCAAGACCCUUUAUUUUAAUUUCCAAUAGCAUGCCAAACCUCACACAUAUAUAACAUUUCCAAGAUAAUAUGUCACGUGAAAUUGACAAUUCUUCAUGGAGAUACAAUCACAAGAUUAAAUGUACAUAUACUAAAAUAUAGGUUACCUAAUACAACCGGACAUGUCAAAUAAAUAUGCGGAAUCAAAUCACAUGCUUGCAAAGAGGAUGACAAAGCAACAUGAGUAAAAACUAAUCGGAUUAUACAUUGGAAUCGCAACUGGAACCUACUUGUAUUUAAGUUAUGAAAAUUGUGAACUAUGUAUCAUGAAAAAAUUUCAUUCUACAGAGGGGUUCAAACCGUGUUCUCCUAUCCACCCCUUUGUUCAAAGAAAGAUACCUAAUUGGAAAUUAUUGAGCUGAUCUCAUACCUGAAGCGUGAAUGCCAACUAUCAUUGCAUUCAUUUCAGUCUCAAUGCAUGGAUGUUCAAAGACAUUUGAUACACCAGAACAAAAGAUUGUCCCAUUCAUAAAUUUUCAUGAAUGCAGGCAGUGGCGGAGCCAGGAAUUUGCACCUUGGUAUUCAUCGUAAAAUAAAGUUAUGCAAUGCAAUUGAAAUAUAUCAUCAAAUGUACAAAAGGCAAAGAGUCAAUGAUCACAUAUCCAUAAUAGUAAUCAAAUAGCAUUAUGGUAAUAUCUCUAACAGUUAAUUUUUAUUUUUUUCAAAAGGAGGCAUAAGCUUCACCAUAUCGAUUAACUGAGAAGAUAACAGAGUUUGUGUUAAAAUAGACACACUUAUAACCAAAAAGUUACUCUUUCAUGUUAUUGUCCCUAAUUUUUUGGCACCCGCAGUGACCCAAACGCUUUGCCUUAUUUUUGAUUGUGCUAAGAACAAUAGGCGGAGGGGUGCUCCUGUGACCAAAAAGUGUUCUAUUUGUUUCAAAUCAUCGAACACACAAGCAUUGUGACUUUGUGAGAGAUGCCAUGGAUUUUCUAUGAUUUUGAAAACAAAAAAACUAUGAUUUUGAAACGGAAGCAUAAGCUUUGCCUCACCGGUUAAUCAAACAAAAACCGGGAUUUUGAGAACUGAGAAAUAGCAAAGGAAAUGUACAAAAUCUAAGUUUUUGUUUUCAUGCAGGGUAGCAGUGUAGUACAAUGCUUUGAUCAAGAGAAUUAGGCAAGACCCGUUCUGAAUCAAAGUAGCAGCCAUGUUUGGUGUUCAGUGCAAGUGUAUAUGGGGAGAUGAUGGCAUGGACGCUAUUUAUUGAUUUCCAUCUUACAGACAUCAUUUAAUGGCAACCGAAUCCGUAUAUAACCCUGCAUGAGUUACUACCUCAGUUAUGCUGUAUUAUACUCCCUCCGUUCCAAAUUACUCAUCGUGGUUUUAGUUCAAACCACGGCGAGUAAAACCACGAUGAGUAAUUUGGAAAGGAGGGAGUAAUAUAGUUGAUUAGAAUGGCUAAGCCACCAAGAGUAUAUGAAAUGGACAUGGUUGUACGAAAUUUAUACAUGAGCUAUACUCUGUUCCCAGAGUUGCAAUCAAUUAGGUUGAGAUGGAACAAAGCCAAAUGAGAUGCCUGGUGUGGAAUUUUCUAGCUGAGAGCCAAUCAGUACGGCAUCUACUUCCAUGUUAGGAGGUACAGUAUGCAGUUUUAUGUAUGAUUUGGACAUACCAUUUUGCAGUGGCGCUGAAGCUUUCCUGGCAGAUUUGACAAUUAGCCUCACCAAUCAAGUUC
rnacentral:lncRNA from 1 species